rnacentral:snRNA from 1 species
ACUCAUACCUUGCAGGGGAAAGAUCAUGCUCAUGAAAGUGGUUUUCCCAGGGUGAGGCUCAUCCGUUGCACUUCAGAUGUGCUGAUCCCUGUGAUUUCCCCAAAUGUGGGGAACUCAAUUGCAUAAUUUGUGGUAGUGGGGGAUUGUAUUUGUGUUUUCCCUGG